CAGGGUCUGUGGUUGCAAGUUGAUGCCAGUCGCAGGCGAAACAAUCCACAUAAGCGGGUAAAAUUGCCCGUGAGCAUGGUGCGGCUUAGAUGUAAGUCCAACCGGUAUACAACCGAGAGAAGCAGUAGUGGGGAGCACAGCGCUUAGGAGCGAACCUUCCAGUUGGCGGGUGUGGGGGCAAAGACCAGGUCAGCCUG
rnacentral:ncRNA from 1 species